rnacentral:rRNA from 1 species
CCUACGGGAGGCAGCAGUAAGGAAUAUUGGUCAAUGGAGGCAACUCUGAACCAGCCAUGCCGCGUGCAGGAAGAAGGCCCUAUGGGUCGUAAACUGCUUUUGUACCAGAGAAAACCCGAGUACGUGUACUCGGUUGAUAGUAUGGUAAGAAUAAGCAUCGGCUAACUUCGUGCCAGCAGCCGCGGUAAGACGAAGGAUGCAAGCGUUAUCCGGAUUCAUUGGGUUUAAAGGGUGCGUAGGCGGACUGGUAAGUCAGUGGUGAAAUCUCUCAGCUUAACUGAGAAACUGCCAUUGAUACUGUUAGUCUAGAGUAUAGAUGACGUUGGCGGAAUAUGACAUGUAGUGGUGAAAUACUUAGAUAUGUCAUAGAACACCGAUUGCGAAGGCAGCUAACGAAACUAUAACUGACGCUGAGGCACGAAAGUGCGGGGAUCAAACAGGAUUAGAUACCCUGGUAGUCCGCACCGUAAACGAUGAUUACUCGUUGUUGGCAAUAUGACCGUCAGCGACCAAGCGAAAGCGAUAAGUAAUCCACCUGGGGAGUACGCCGGCAACGGUGAAACUCAAAUGAAUUGACGGCGNGAGAGNGCGAGGACGACGACGAGGGAGGAGG